GACGAACGCUGGCGGCGUGCUUAACACAUGCAAGUCGAACGGAAAGGCCCUGCUUUUGUGGGGUGCUCGAGUGGCGAACGGGUGAGUAACACGUGAGUAACCUGCCCUUGACUUUGGGAUAACUUCAGGAAACUGGGGCUAAUACCGGAUAGGAGCUCCUGCUGCAUGGUGGGGGUUGGAAAGUUUCGGCGGUUGGGGAUGGACUCGCGGCUUAUCAGCUUGUUGGUGGGGUAGUGGCUUACCAAGGCUUUGACGGGUAGCCGGCCUGAGAGGGUGACCGGCCAAAUUGGGACUGAGAUACGGCCCAGAGUCCUACGGGAGGCAGCAGUGGGGAAUAUUGCACAAUGGGCGGAAGCCUGAUGCAGCAACGCCGCGUUCGGGAUGACGGCCUUCGGGUUGGAAACCGCUUUCGCCUGUGACGGAGCGUGUGUGACGGUAAUGGGUAAAGAAGCACCGGCUAACUACGUG
rnacentral:rRNA from 1 species